AGAGAUUUAAGAAUAAACUGCCUGGAAUGACACUGACAAAAAGUUAAGUAGGAGGACAAGGAAACCCUUCUAUUUUGAAUCCCUGGCUACAGGGGAGGAUCAACUUCACCAUCGCCCAGGGUCUGGCCCAGGAUAGGGCCCACGUGGUGGGCAGCAGCAGGAAACAGGAGAAGACAUGGAAAGACUAGAGCUUCAGCCUCCCUGACGGCUAAAUUGAAGCUAUGUCAUAAUUUCUGCCUGUGCCUGGCUUUCUUAAGAUUCCCCCAAGAACCUUGACUCACCCUCUCUCCUGUUGAUAUGACUGGAAGUAAAGAAUUCUGAAAUGAUGGAGUUGCCAGGUAGAAGCAGCCAGAUUCCUUGAGUUUCUACUUGAAGAACAGCUGCCCAGGAGGGACACAGAGCCUGCACUGGAC